GACGAACGCUGGCGGCGUGCCUAAUACAUGCAAGUCGAGCGCAGGAAAUCGACGGAACCCUUCGGGGGGAAGUCGACGGAAUGAGCGGCGGACGGGUGAGUAACACGUAAAGAACCUGCCCUCAGGUCUGGGAUAACCACGAGAAAUCGGGGCUAAUGCCGGAUGGGUCAUCGGACCGCAUGGUCCGAGGAUGAAAGGCGCUCCGGCGUCGCCUGGGGAUGGCUUUGCGGUGCAUUAGCUAGUUGGUGGGGUAAUGGCCCACCAAGGCGACGAUGCAUAGCCGACCUGAGAGGGUGAUCGGCGACACUGGGACUGAGACACGGCCCAGACUCCUACGGGAGGCAGCAGUAGGGAAUCUUCCACAAUGGACGAAAGUCUGAUGGAGCAACGCCGCGUGAACGAUGAAGGCCUUCGGGUCGUAAAGUUCUGUUGUAAGGGAAGAACAAGUGCCGCAGGCAAUGGCGGCACCUUGACGGUACCUUGCGAGAAAGCCACGGCUAACUACGUGCCAGCCGCCGCAGUAAUAC
rnacentral:rRNA from 1 species